UAUUUGCCAGCGAGUAAUGUCGGGAACUUUAAGGAUACUGCCAGUGACAAACUGGAGGAAGGCGGGGACGACGUCAAGUCAUCAUGGCCCUUACGGCCAGGGCUACACACGUGCUACAAUGGUCGGUACAAAGGGUUGCUACCUAGCGAUAGGAUGCUAAUCUCAAAAAGCCGAUCGUAGUCCGGAUUGGAGUCUGCAACUCGACUCCAUGAAGUCGGAAUCGCUAGUAAUCGCGGAUCAGAAUGCCGCGGUGAAUACGUUCCCGGGCCUUGUACACACCGCCCGUCACACCAUGGGAGUUUGUUGCACCAGAAGUAGCUAGCCUAACUGCAAAGAGGGCGGUUACCACGGUGUGGCCGAUGACUGGGGUGAAGUCGUAACAAGGUAGCCGUAGGGGAACCUGCGGCUGGAUCACCUCCUUAA
rnacentral:rRNA from 1 species